rnacentral:rRNA from 1 species
UGGAUCCAGACUUUGAUCAUGGCUCAGGAUGAACGCUAGCUACAGGCUUAACACAUGCAAGUCGAGGGGAAACGACAUUGAAAGCUUGCUUUCGAUGGGCGUCGACCGGCGCACGGGUGAGUAACGCGUAUCCAACCUGCCCAUCACUUGGGGAUAACCUUGCGAAAGUAAGACUAAUACCCAAUGACGUCUCUAGAAGACAUCUGAAAGAGAUUAAAGAUUUAUCGGUGAUGGAUGGGGAUGCGUCUGAUUAGCUUGUUGGCGGGGUAACGGCCCACCAAGGCUACGAUCAGUAGGGGUUCUGAGAGGAAGGUCCCCCACAUUGGAACUGAGACACGGUCCAAACUCCUACGGGAGGCAGCAGUGAGGAAUAUUGGUCAAUGGACGAGAGUCUGAACCAGCCAAGUAGCGUGCAGGAUGACGGCCCUAUGGGUUGUAAACUGCUUUUAUAAGGGAAUAAAGUGAGUCUCGUGAGACUUUUUGCAUGUACCUUAUGAAUAA